CAACAUCAUCUUCACCAACACAUCAAGAAAUAGUUAAUGGAAGACAUGAUAGUGUAUUACCACCUCCUUCUCCCAAGACUGAUCCAAUUAUUGGUCAACUCACAACAAUUACUACUACUCCUCAUCAUGACGACACCGUCGCGGCGCCGCCUGUUGGUGGGAGGCACGAUUAUGUAGCCUCACCACCACCACCAAAGCCACAAGAUGAACAAAGGCAGAUCAUUAUCACAUCCUCUUCUUCUACUUUGCCUCUUCAAGCUUCCUAUUAAGCUAGCAUCGGAACUUUAUAAUAUAAUAUAUGUUCACUACUAAGUGUAGUAUUUUUUAUUUUAUGU
rnacentral:lncRNA from 1 species